UUAACAAACGAGGGUGUUGUAUGUUCUCAGCUCAAGAAGUUCCAUGUUUUUUUUAUUUCAUGACUAUGGGUCAUUUCCAUUUUAGUUCCAAGAAGUUCCACUGAUACCAUUUUCUUUUUUAAUCUCUCUAUGGAAUCAUUUCUCCCCCUAAAGUAUAUCCCUUUUAGCUUGUGAUUUUAAUUUUCUAAUUCAUUGUUCGAUUCUGCUUCACAGGAAUGGUAGAUUUGAGGUGAAGAGGUUCCACAUUGGUCAAGUAAUCCUCAAAUCUAGCUUCACUUUAACUCGUGAACACCAAUUUCAUGCACUGAUUCAUGGACCAAGCAGUGUUUUGUGCCUGCUAGUUCUUGCUUGUAGCAGAUCUUGUGGAUUGACAGAUUCUAGGGUUUGAAAACAGAAACACUUCGUAACCAAAGAAGGACACCUUCAUAGGAGUAAGGUUAGAAACUAAAUGUCUAUGGUUAUGAUUACUGCAGAUUUAGUUUCCUUCCUUAUUACUGUCGAUUUAGUUUCCUCUUCAGCACUAACUUUGCCUAUAAAUAUAUGGGUCAGCCAGUGGGUGAUGGUUAGCAAACAUUGUAGAUAGAAAUCAUCAUAGAAUCAUAUAUUUACGUUUAUAGCUACCUCACAUAGGCCUAUUUGUGAUUAAUUUGAAAACAUUUUGGGGGUUGAAAAUAUAAAUUGAUUUUACUGGCCUAUAUAAACAUAUAUUUAUGUUUACAGCUACCUCACAUUCUGCUCUAUGUUAACUUUUAUUUUGUGUCCAAGAAAAAAAAAGGCAUGAACUCUUUGUCCCACACGGUAUUUGGUGAAAGCUCAUAGCAGAAUAUGAAAAAUGCAUUUGACUUAGCUUAUUAGUGUACGUUUAUUUUCUUUGACCAUAAAGUUUGAUGCAAUCCUACUCCCCAAGGGGCAUUGGAUAGAAGACUCCAAGAAGAUUGAGCCAGAGAUGUAAGAGAAGGCCCUAGGGUUCUCAUGAGCCUCAGGAUAGAUUUUGGGCCCAUAGGUUAAGUAUGAGCCCACUUGUCUUUGUAUAUAUUAGAUUAGAGUUUCGUUAUUUUUGAGCCGUGUGUUUAGGGCUCCAUAGUGUAGGGAAGGUAUCCUAGUAAUGUAGGAUUUUUUAGCCCUUGUAUUUUAGGACACCUAGACUAGUUUUUGUAUUAGGGGUAGUUUUGUAAUUUCACAUGCAUUAAGUGCAUUAUUUGAUGUGUGUGUUGGGAGAGAAAUUUAAUUGAAUUGGGAGAAGCCUAAUCCAAUUAAAUUUUGGACCAGCCUAAGGAGGAGGUGACCAUUUGUUUGCUACACCCCAUUGUCAUAUCAUAUAGUCAGACUUUGUGCAUGUCCUUCAUGCUUUACAUGCCUCAUGACACCUAAGUACACUUAGUAGAUAAUCUUGGACUUGAUCUUGGAUUAGUGGGUCGAACCAUAGUUGAAAUUCACUAAUUAUAAUUAGUGAAAUUUUGGCUCCACAAAUUCAAAUUCAAAUUCAAGUGUUUAUUCAAAUUUCCCUCCAAUUUUGUGCGACACUUAGGCUAUAAAUAAAGGCCUUGUGUGUGCAUUUUGUCAACUUUGAUCAUUUGAGAAGUUACACUUCAAAGUUUAGAUCUCGUUUUAGGCAUGAAUUUUGUGCCCCCUUCUCUCCCUUUGCCUCCACUCAUCUUCUCCUACCUUCAAGCUCUUGUCCAUGGCUUCCUAUGGUGGUGAGCUUAUUCUUGACUCAUCUUCUCCUUGAAGUGGUGUCUCCAAUAACCUUUCCUCCUUCUCCCUUUUGCUACCAUUGAUCUUCAAGAAGCAAAGGACUCCAUUGAUGAAGAAGAUCCAAGGCCUACAAGCUUUACAUGGAGCUACAUCAUGUGGUAUCAGAGCAUCUUCAUCUAGGUGAUGUUCUUUUGCUUCCUCUAUCUUUUUUUCAGUCAAUUCACUUAAAUUCCUUGUUCUUCAUCAUCUUCUCCAUGUAUCUCCUCCAUUGUCUUAUGGUUUGGUGUUGUUUAGAGUAGAUUCAAAAAAAUAUACCGAUUAAAUCUUAGAUCUACACUUGUUCUUGCAUUUCUAUGGUUCAAAUUUUAUAGAUCUACUCUUGAAUCAUGUUCUUGUGUUGAUUUUAGGUUCUAUCUUUCUUCAGUCAUAAUCUUCUUGUGUUGAAUCUUUAGAUCUCAAUUUUCUUGCAAAAUAUUGAUUAGAAAAGAAAACACAAAAAUCUAAGUGUAAAUUACUUCAUUCAUGUUGUCUUAGAGUCAUGUUUAGUCAUAAUAAUUGUCACAUUAUGUUCUAAGUUUAUGUUGAAUUUUGAUUUUGUUGAUUAAUUUUAGAUACAUCUGUGUUGGAUCAAGUGGCCUCGGAAUAAUUAAGAAAGGGGGGGGGGGUUGAAUUAAUUAUGAACGUGUUUUGACAAUUAAAAAUUUAUCCUUUUUAAUAUUACUAGAUUCAAUUAGGCUUUAUUGCUAAGUUAUGAAAAAGUAAAGAACAUAAACAAUAACUUAACCAAAAGUAAAAGCGACAAUUAAAAGUACACAACGAAAAUUAAAGAGUGUAGGGAAGAAGAAGACAAACACAAGAUUUAUACUGGUUCGGCCACAACCCGUGCCUACAUCCAGUCCCCAAGCAACCAUCGGUUCUUGAGAUUUCCAAUAACCUUGUAAAAUCCUUUACAAGUAAAGAUCCACAAGGGAUGUACCCUUCACUUGAACUGCUCCACAAGAGAUGUACCCUCUCUUGUUCUUAGUAUAACAACCCAAGUAGAUGUACCCUCUACUUGUACCCCAAAGGAUGUACCCUCCAAUGUGUUAAGACAAAGAAUUCUUAGGUGGUUAGUGAUGUGUCAUUAUUUUCUCCUAUUUCUUAACCCUUUUUGUCACCAUUUUAAUUAUUGAUUAGCCUUAAUCGUCAAAUUAAUUAUGCAGUUUUAUCAUUUGGGCCUACUUGACUAAUUUGGUGUUUUUAAUUUAAUUUCAGGAGAAUUAUAAGCAAUUGGGCUUGAAUUUGGAAUUGGGCUUGGACUUCAAGAGAGCAGACAAUUUUAUUUUAUCAAAUCUUAUCUUAUCUAGAUUUUAUUUCAUCUAGAUUUUAUUUCGUCCAGAUUUUAUUCCAUCAAAUCUUAUCUUAUCUUGUCCAGAUUUUAUUUUAUUUAUGGGCUUGGACUUAAAACAGAUUUGUAAGCUUUGGGGCUGAUGACCUAUAUAACAGCACCAAGGUUUUAGUUUAGAAAGUUUUAGAGAGAGGAGAAUAAUUCUAGGAUUUUAGAAUUCCUGUUUUUAUUACUGUUCAUGCACAC
rnacentral:lncRNA from 1 species